rfam:Terribacillus aidingensis strain MP602, complete genome.
CCGUGCUAAGCGGGGAGGUAGCGGUGCCCUGUACUCGCAAUCCGCUAUAGCGAGGCCGAAUUCCCAUCCGAGGUAAUACGGCUUUAAGGCCUGCCAUAAGGAAUUGGUGUUGACACCCGGGUCCUGCGCAACAGGAAACUGUGAACCCUGUCAGGUCCGGAAGGAAGCAGCAGUAAGCAGUCUCUCCUGUGUGCCGCGGGGAAGCCUGGGUCGAGCCAUGAACUUAUGUAACGCUUAGAUCUGUAUUAUCGACGGUGGGUGCACGG